UCGGAGGGGCCGAGGGGCCAAAGAAACUAAACUAAAACAUUGUUUGCCGUGAGUAUUUUCUAAACAGCAUGUGCCUUAUAUCUUAAAUAAAUAAAUAUAAAAUAAUCUAGACGGACAUAUGUUAGAACUUUGUUUCGUUUUGUCCAUAUUCAAACUCUUCUAGGUGGCGCCCCAACAGCUCAUCGAAAUGCACGCAGCGCGAAUUCGAAUCCACAGCGAGAUUUGAGCGCGGGAAGCUGUUAUGUGCCAGUAUGCUGGGGUAGGCUUGACAACUCAAAAUUUUCUAUUUGUACUUACGAAGCAGCAGUAUUUGACAGAAAAGAAUAAUACUUUGAUGCUCUUCUCACGCCUACAAGCGAGGGCGGCGUGAUUAACAACACAGCGUAAUGCGCAACGGUGAACGCCAACGAACUGCGUGCCGCCACCAACCUGGACGAAGCAUUUUGGACUGAAGCUGUCUUGAUAUCUACAAUACAUUGGACACUACAUGCAGGAUUAUGAAUGGAUACCUCAACACUGCUUGAAGGAGCAAGCUCUACAGCAUCACUUAUGCUCCUUUCCAUGGGUUGGCAAGAGGAACCGUGGCACGCAACUCUACAGGCACCUGUGCUCUUCACUACCUUUGGAGGAGAGAUGCAUUGAAUGCUCCCUAUCAUGCACUGCCAUCUCAACAGUACCAUGGCUUUUUGUGUGGAUUCCUUCCCUGUUGAAGGCCACCACUGUUUGCACAGCAUCACAGCCUGCCUGCCUUGAUCUUGCGGAAGAAGAAAAUACAAAAUGCCUAUUUUUUGAAAUGCAUGCAUGGCUCCAUGCAACACCACCUGUCGUCGGGGUGUUAAGGCUUUUUGCAGAGAAAAUGUAAUGACGCCUUAUGUGUGCCCUGGUGGCAAAGUGUUUGCCUCUUUGCCUGUGUAAAAAUUUCACACUUAUGGAUACUGUUAAAGGUUCCUGUAUCAUAUUUUCUUUCACAUCCUAAGAAAUUUUUGUUUCAUUAUAAAACUAAAAAUUAUAGUUGAAUUGCUGCUUUGUCUGAUAUGCAAUAUUCAGCUGAAGGUGAUCAGCAGAGGUCGAACAAGUGUUAUAUCAGGUGGAGAAAUUUUUUUGAGAAGUGGACUUCUUCGUUAGGGUAACAACCGUUUUCCUUGGCAGUAUUUAUAUAGUUCACUUUUCUCCACUCCAUGGAUAUCCAGCAAAAUGAGUGAGGGCAUAGAGAAGGUGAGGUAAGUUUAAAUGCUCAACAUGGGGGUUUAGUUGGGGUAGCAAGGUGUGUAGAAGUAUGGGAGUUUGGCAGGUUGCUGGCACCAAUUUCUAUGAGUUAUCUUGUUGUUUGUGUCUAUGUCAGUUAUAUAAUGCGAGGCGUCUUCUGAGGCCAGAAAUUUUGAAAAAAAAAAACUACUUAUAUUUGUGGAAAUUCAGUAUGUGCCCCUGGGGCUACUACGAGCACUUGGGGCCACUGGGUAGAUGCAGCUCUCCAAUGAACUUUUUUGACACAAACUUGUGUAUGUACACUGGGUGUGUGCCACUGCACAUGUGCCACUCUAAUGAACCUCUUUGAUGCUGACUUAGAUCAUGGGGCAUCACAACACGAAUC